rnacentral:rRNA from 1 species
ACACGUAGGGGGCGAGCGUUGUUCGGAAUCAUUGGGCGUAAAGGGCGUGCAGGCGGUCCUGCAAGUCCGGCGUGAAAGACCCCGGCCCAACCGGGGGGACGCGCUGGAAACUGCAGGGCUUGAGUACAGGAGGGGAAGCCGGAAUUCCAGGUGUAGGGGUGAAAUCGGUAGAUAUCUUGAAGAACACCAAUGGCGAAGGCAGGCAUCUGGCCAUGUACUGACGCUGAGACGCGAAGGUGCGGGGAGCAAACAGGUUUAGAUACCCGGGUAGACCGCACAGUAAACGAUGUGCACCAGAUGGCGGGGGGUCGCCCCCCGGUACCGUAGCUAACGCAUUAAGUGCACCGCCUGGGGAGUAUGCUCGCAAGGGUGAAACUCAAAGGAAUUGACGGGG